UACGUAGGGACCAAGCGUUGUUCGGAUUUACUGGGCGUAAAGGGCGCGUAGGCGGCCUGCUAAGUCGAACGUGAAAUCCCCGGGCUCAACCCGGGAACUGCGUCCGAUACUGGCAGGCUUGAAUCCGGGAGAGGGAUGCGGAAUUCCAGGUGUAGCGGUGAAAUGCGUAGAUAUCUGGAGGAACACCGAUGGCGAAGGCAGCUCGCUGGGACGGUACUGACGCUGAGGCGCGAAAGCGUGGGGAGCAAACAGG
rnacentral:rRNA from 1 species